GUCUCCGUAGCUCAGUGGUAGUAGCGAGAGAUUGCAGCUGCUGUGUUCGCACAACAAUCAUCUCUAGGUCAGGCGUUCGAACCGCCUCGGGGACU